UAACAGAAGGACUGGUUUUCCUCAGGACAACCAGCCCUUGAGCUGGUAGCCAGGGACAGGGAGCAGAACAGAGCCCCUGCAGUCCAGGAGGAAGCAGUUUGUGACCUGCUGUGCCACUGAGACUCUCACAGCUCCGCGGGGCUGACAGGAUCCAUCCGAGGGUACCGAGGGAGCUGCUGGCAGAGCUCACCAAGCCUCUCUCAACCACUGAUCACCAAUCCUGGUCAGCUGAGGCUGCCCCAGGUGACUGGGGGCUGGCCAAUGUGACACUCAUUUACAGGAAGGGUCAGAAGGAGGAUCUGGGGAACUAUAGGCCAAUUAGCCUGACCUCAGUGCCUGGGAAGGUUAUGGAACAGAUCAUAGAUCAUCAGGAGUGUGAUCAGAUGUCAUACACAGCACAACCCGGGGUCAGGCCCAGCCAGCAUAGGUUGAGCAAAAGCAGGUCCUGCUUCACCAACCCGCUCUCCUUUUAUGACCAAGUGGAUGAGGGAAAGGCUGUGGAUUCUACCUGCCUGGACUACAGUAAAGCCUUUGGUACUGUCUCCCACAGCAUUUUCCUGGAAAAGCUGGCAGCCCACAGCUUGGACAGGUGCACUCUUUGCUGGGUUAAGAACUGGAUGGCCGGGCCCUGAGAGUGGUGGUGAAUGGAAUCAGAUCCAUCUGGCAAGUGGUCACCAGUGGAGUUGCCCAGGGCUCAGUAUUGGGCCAGUAAAGAUACUGGACCAAUAUCUUUAUUGAUGAGCUAGGCAGAUCCCACAGGAGAGUGAAUAGGGCCAGGAGGUGCUCCAGGCAGUGGAGCAGGUUCCCCUGCAGCUUGUUGUGAAGACCAUGGUGAGGCAGCUGUGCUCCUGCAGCCAAGGAGGUCCACAGUGGAACAGACAUCCACCUACAGCUCGUGGAAGAUCCCAUGCUGGAGCAGGUGUGUGCCCAAAGGAGGGAAUGACCACCGCGUGGGAAGUGUGGAAUGACCACCAUGUGGGAAGCUCACACUGGAGGAGGCUCCUGGCAGGGCCUGUGGCCCCAUGGAAAGAUGACCCCACUCUGAACCCGUUUUGCUGCCAGGUCCCUGUGGGACAUCCAGGCUGGAGCAGCCUGUUCCUGAAGGACGGCACCCUAUGGAAGGGACCCAUGCUGGAGCAAUUGGUAAAGAACUGCAGCCCAUGGGAAGGACUCGGAGAAAUCCAUGAAGGACAAUCUCCUAUAGGAGGACCCAACACUGGAGCAGGGAGGAGUGUGAGGAGUCCUCCCUCUGAGGAGGAAGGAGCAGUAGAGACAACAUGUGAUGAAUUAACCACAAUCCCUAUUCCCUCUGAGCUCCUGCAUAGAGAGGGUAGAGGAAAUUGGGAGUGAAGUUGAGGCCAUAAAAAAGGGAGGGAUGGGGCAAAGAGCCUUUGAGAUUUGGUUUUAUAUUUCAUCACCCCACUCUGAUUAGACUGGUAAUAAAUAAAACAAAUUUUCCCAAGUCAGUUUUGCCCAAGACAGUAAUUGGUGAGUGAACUCUCCCUGUCCUUAUCUUGACUCCUGAGCCUUUUGGUAUAUUCUCUCUCCUCUGUCCAGGUGACAAAGAGUGAUGGAGCAGUACAUGGGCACCUGGUGUCCACACAAGCUCCACUAACCACAGUGUUUAGUGUUUUUUCUGAAGUUAAACUGAUACUCAGUUAAUGUGUCGUGCUCCUUGCUGUUUUUAAACCUGUAAGCCAGGAGUCCCACUGAGGUCACAGGAGAGGUGAAUUCAUUGCAGGAUUAGUUGCACUUUUUUUUUCCACUCUGAAAUUGAAUACUGUUGGAUUGCCCUCAUCAGUGCUUAAAAGGUAAUAUGAACUUGUUUUGAAAUUAACAGGUCCUCUAAGAGCCUUCAAGAUCAACCAUUUCCCCUCAGUUUUACAUUAUUCUACUUCAUUGCAAAGAAUGUUUCCUUGUGCUGUGUUGUAAAAUCCUCUUCAGUAAGAUAAAAAAUAAAUGUACAUGUCCACAAAGUACAUGUGGAUCUGUUUGCACUGCUUAUUCUAACUUAGUUCUUGUGUACACUUAUUUAUGGAUAAAAUGAUAAUUUAAGGUGCUCCUUAUACUGUACCUCUCCUUAUUGUCAUAACUGAGAUUCUUGAAGCAGCUAAUCACCAGGAGAACCUCUGGCCUGAAUACUUUUUAAAUAAAGCUGUGAAGCUUUUCUCUCCAGA